GGGGCUGUAGCUCAGUGGUAGAGUGCUUGCCUAGUGCGUGAGGCGCUGGGUUCGAUCCUCAGCACCA
rnacentral:tRNA from 1 species